GCAGUAGCCGCGGGAAUACGUAGGUGGCGAGCGUUGUCCGGAAUUAUUGGGCGUAAAGGGAGCGCAGGCGGACAUAUAAGUCCAUCUUAAAAGUGCGGGGCUCAACCCCGUGAGGGGAUGGAAACUGUAUGCCUUGAGUGCAGGAGAGGAAAGCGGAAUUCCCAGUGUAGCGGUGAAAUGCGUAGAUAUUGGGAGGAACACCAGUGGCGAAGGCGGCUUUCUGGACUGUAACUGACGCUGAGGCUCGGAAGCCAGGGGAGCGAACGGGAUUAGAUACCCGCGUAGUCCCUGUCUCUUAUACA
rnacentral:rRNA from 1 species